rnacentral:rRNA from 1 species
UACAGAGGGGCAAGCGUUGUUCGGAAUUACUGGGCGUAAAGGGCGCGUAGGCGGCCUGUUAAGUCGGACGUGAAAUCCCUCGGCUCAACCGGGGAACUGCGUCCGAUACUGGCGGGCUUGAAUUCGGGAGAGGGAUGUGGAAUUCCAGGUGUAGCGGUGAAAUGCGUAGAUAUCUGGAGGAACACCGGUGGCGAAGGCGGCAUCCUGGACCGACAUUGACGCUGAGGCGCGAAAGCCAGGGAG